rnacentral:rRNA from 1 species
UACGAAGGGGGCUAGCGUUGCUCGGAAUCACUGGGCGUAAAGCGCACGUAGGCGGACUCUUAAGUCGGUGGUGAAAUCCUGGAGCUCAACUCCAGAACUGCCUUCGAUACUGAGAGUCUUGAGUUCGGGAGAGGUGAGUGGAACUGCGAGUGUAGAGGUGAAAUUCGUAGAUAUUCGCAAGAACACCAGUGGCGAAGGCGGCUCACUGGCCCGAUACUGACGCUGAGGCACGAAAGCGUGGGGAGCAAACAGG